rnacentral:rRNA from 1 species
CCUACGGGGGGCAGCAGUGAGGAAUAUUGGUCAAUGGGCGAGAGCCUGAACCAGCCAAGUCGCGUGAAGGAUGACGGCCCUACGGGUUGUAAACUUCUUUUGUCAGGGAGCAAUUGAGUCCACGUGUGGGCUUAGCGAGAGUACCUGAAGAAAAAGCAUCGGCUAACUCCGUGCCAGCAGCCGCGGUAAUACGAAGGGGGCAAGCGUUGUUCGGAAUUACUGGGCGUAAAGGGAGUGUAGGCGGUUUAGUAAGAUAGUUGUGAAAUCCCAGGGCUUAACUUUGGAAUUGCCAUUAUAACUAUUAGACUAGAAUUAAAGAGAGGAUAGUGGAAUACCUAGUGUAGAGGUGAAAUUCGUAGAUAUUGGGUAGAACACCAGUGGCGAAGGCGACUAUCUGGCUGUACAGUGACGCUGAGGCUCGAAAGCAUGGGGAUCAAACAGGAUUAGAUACCCGGGUAGUC